AACACAGGACAAAUAUCGGGCUCGGGCUCAGGCUCAGGCUCAGGCUUCGGGCUCAGGGGUGGGCUGUGGCCGCCCAGUCCCCAAGAUGUGGACACGCUCCUGGUUGGGUGGGUCCCUUCCAUUUUGACCGUCUCGCUCUCUUCGUAUACUCCUACUAGGCGAAGAAGUUGGAGAAGAAGCAGCCGAGCAACAGCAGCAGGCAGCAGCCGGAUCGAUCGAGAGAGAGGCUCAGGAAAGUGGCAGGGAGCAUCCCUCCAUCGAUCAGCCUUCUCAUCAGUGGGCAUGGGGUCAGAGUGUUGGGCUCACUUUGAGAAGAAGGCUGACAACAUGGCAGAGUGCAGGCACUGCCAUAACUUGCUCAGCUACAAGAAUGGCACCUCGCGUCUCAACAGGCACUACCAGGAAUCCUGCCGGAAGCGUGGCAGGCAGCAGGGCUCUCAUCAUGGUGCAUCGGCGUUCUCAAGAUCGAGCUCUGAUGAUUUGGGUGAGCAAACAGCGGCUGCUGCUGCUGCUGAAGAUCAGCUCAUCAGGAUGAUCGCGCUGCACGGGUUCCCUUCCUCGAUGGUGGAAGACGUGGAGUUCACAAGAUUUGUUCGGAUGCUCUGCCCUGACUUCAAGAUGCCGUCGCGAGACGAUGUCCGGAAGAGGUGCGAUGAGCUCUUCGACCGAGAAAUGAGCAGCUUGAAGGAUGCUAUUGGGCGUACGCCUGGGCUUGCUAGCUUAUCAUUAGGAAAAACCACAACUGCCUGGGGGAAAGUUGCGUAUUUGGCUGCCCACUUCAUUGAUGAAGAGUGGAAUUUCCAUUGCAGAGUUAUACAGGUGUUUAAGGCAUUAGAAGUGGAAGAUGACACCACCUAUGGUCUCAGUAAGAUAUUGGAUAUCAAAGAUUACAUCAUAGACAUCCCAGUUACAGAUUGGGAUCCGGAGGACUAUGAGCGUAUGUUGGUUAUUUCUCAUACGGGAAUUAUUUCUCAUUGGGGCCUUUUGUCUAAGCUUAGUGGCGUUCUAAUAGAAAAUUUUGGUACGACAGAAUUUGGAAAAAUAAUUUACGAUGAUAAUGAUCUACCACAUCUAUCUGCAACCCAACAUAAGCUGCUCUGUGCUACCAAUUUACGGUGGGAUUUACCUGCUAUUGCUUCGACUCUACGUUAUCCAUUCAGUUCUUACGGACAAGAUUGCCUCAACGCCUUUGAAGAUGAAAAUUUGAAGAAGAAACGCAGAGAUAUUUCUUCGCAUUUGCAGCUAGAUCACCCUUGGACAUACAACAAGUGGUGGUAUGCGUAUUAUUAUGCGCUAGAAAUUAUUCACAAGGAAUGCUCUUCCGGACCAGCAAAAAUUAGAGCCUUAGCAGGCAAAGUCAUAUUCCAUGAGACAUGGAUUACUGAGCUGUUCCGCACUACGCUAGGAAGGAUAUACCGUAGCAUCAACACAAUUUCAGGCUCCAGCUUGCCCACUUCAAACCAGGUCCUCAUAGAGAUGCUGGAAGUGAGAAACACGAUAGUACUCGGAUUCAAAAAUGGUUCAGGAAGGAUGCAAAAUUGCAGUGGUGAACUAAGUUUCCGUUCUAAGGAUGAAACUGUUCUAAUAUCUGUUCAGAAAGCAAUAAGCGCACUCGACAGCUUUCUGUUAGAUUCAUAUUUGUUACUAAGCAUACCACUUAUUCUAGACCCGAGAUAUAAGCUCGUUUAUGUUGAAAACUUACUCAAGAAUUUUCAGAGCAUUCUUGAAAAGGCUCCCUCUGCAGAUCUAUUUUCUAAGGUAGGAGAAAAAAUUCGUGAGCUCUUCACAGAGUACAAAACACAAGGCAUUGAAACAGAUUACAAUAAUGAGAGCAAUGCCACAGAGCAUGCUAAUCAUAUCCAUGAAAUGGAUGCGGAUCCAUCAAUACAAUGGGAUGGCAGUACUUUGCAACUCACAGAGCAGGGCAACAAUACGAGUUCACAGGAACACAUGAGGGAACUCGAAGCCUAUCUGCAAGAUGAGACCGUCCCUCUGGAUCAAGAGGAUUUCGAUGUUCUCAAGUGGUGGAAGGACAAUUGUGGCAGGUAUCCCACGGAACUUGGAAGGGAAGGCGCCGGGGAGAAGAAGAAGAAGAAAUCAAGCAGUAGCGAGAACACAACCGCUGCGAGCUCAGCUGCGGAUCGAUAUCUUCGGCUGCCCAUCCAGCAUCAACCACUAGCUCAGAUUACGAUGGCGGAGAACAACCAUCAACCUACUAAUGCCGCAGACCAUAGCAAGUGGUCAAAUUGUUGGGAUCACUUUCAGGAGAAGGCUGGGCAGAAGGCAGAGUGCAGGCACUGCAAGAAGCAGCUCAGCUUCAAGAAUGGCACCUCGCGUCUCAACAGGCACUACCAGGAUACCUGCCCGGCAAGGAAGCGUGCCAGGCAGCAGGGCUCUCAUGGUGCAUCUGUGCAAGCGGGGAUUCACGAUUUGCAGGAUGCGCCGGCUUUCUCGAGAUCGAGCUCUGAUAAUUUCGGUGAGCAAACCGCGGCUGCUGCUGCUGAAGAUCAGCUCAUCAGGAUGAUCGCACUGCACGGGUUCCCUUCCUCGAUGGUGGAAGACGAGCAGUUCAUAAGAUUUGUUGGAAUGCUCUGCCCUGAUUUCAAGAUGCCUUCGCGAGAUGAUGUGGAGGAGAGGUGUGAUGCGCUCUUCGACCAAGAAAUGAGCAGCUUAAAGGAUGCCAUUGCACGUACGCCUGGGCUGGUAACUUUGUCAAAAGGCAAAGCUCGAACUGCCAUGGUGAAAACCAUGUUCCUGGCGGCCCACUUCAUUGAUAAAGAAUGGAAUCUCUGUAGGAGAGUAAUACGGGUGUUUAAGGACGAUAAGUGGUCUAUCGAACCUUGCUAUGAUCAGAUAUUGGACCUCAAAGAUUUCUCUCAUGUCUGGGACAAUUAUGAUGAAAUGGUAAGAACUAUAUCUUCCUAUGGUUGUUUGCAUAAGCUUGUGUUGUUAGAUGAUGAAGAUUAUUAUUACAUGUUCAGAAAUAAAUUGUACACGGACAAUCAUCUUAAGCACAUCUCUGCAACUCAACAAAAGUUGUUCCGUGCUACCGACAUGUAUCAGAAGCUCAAUAUGGCCGCUGACGACUUAAUAUAUUGUCCUCGUGCUUAUGGAAAGCAUUGCCUUCUCGCAUUUCCGGAAUUAUGUUUGACUAAGAAGAAACGCAGAGAUAUUUCUUCACGUCUAAGGCUGUCGAACCCGUGGACAUACGACAAAUGGUGGUAUGCAUUAUAUUAUGCACUGCAAUUUCUUCACGACGAAAGCUCUUCUUCAACAGUAGGAAUUGCCGGCUUAGUAGGAGAUGACACAUUCCAGGAAACAGAUACUACCGAGCUGUUCCGCACAACAUUAGGCGUGAUAUACAAUGCUAUCGAAACAAUUGCUGGCUCCAGUUCUCCAACCUCAAACCUAUCCCUUAUAGAGCUUGUGAAGCUGAAAAGAAAGAUAGAUUCAGAAUGUAUCAACGCAUCUAGAAGGAAGGAUGAUAAUGAUGAUGAAGAUACUAACGAAGAACAAGAUCAUGAUAUUGACUAUGAUGUGCUGCAAUAUUAUCUUGAAAAAACGAAAGAACAUAUGGACAAGGUUUUCAAGGAUUCAUAUUUGUCACAAAGCAUACCGCUUAUUCUAGACCCAAGAUUCAAGCUCGUCAAUGUUGAACGCUUUCUGAAGAAAGCUUCCCUACCUCCAGAUUGCAUUUCGGAGGUUCAAGCAGCAGUCGUUCAGCUCUUUCAGGACUACAGUAAUCAGGGCAAUGCAAGGGAGCACACCAAUCAUAACAAUGAAAAUGUAAUGGGCAUCGAUCCAUUCCAGCAACUAUAUUAA
rnacentral:lncRNA from 1 species